UAGUACGGCGAGUGAAGCGGCAACAGCUCAAAUUUGAAAGCUAGCCUUCGGGUUCGCAUUGUAAUUUGUAGAGGAUGCUUUGGGUAAAACGCCAGUCUAAGUUCCUUGGAACAGGACGUCAUAGAGGGUGAGAAUCCCGUAUGUGACUGGAAAUGUUAACCUAUGUAAAGCUCCUUCGACGAGUCGAGUUGUUUGGGAAUGCAGCUCUAAAUGGGAGGUAAAUUUCUUCUAAAGCUAAAUAUUGGCGAGAGACCGAUAGCGCACAAGUAGAGUGAUCGAAAGAUGAAAAGCACUUUGGAAAGAGAGUUAAAAAGCACGUGAAAUUGUUGAAAGGGAAGCGCUUGCAAUCAGACUUGUUUAAACUGUUCGGCCGGUCUUCUGACCGGUUUACUCAGUUUGGACAGGCCAGCAUCAGUUUCGGCGGCCGGAUAAAGGCAUUGGGAAUGUGGCCUUCACUUCGGUGGAGGUGUUAUAGCCCAGUGUGUAAUACGGCCAGCCGGGACUGAGGUCCGCGCUUCGGCUAGGAUGCUGGCGUAAU
rnacentral:rRNA from 1 species